CUUUAAAAAAAAAUCAGCUGCAAGACGAUGCAUCAAUCACACACUGCCAGUCACUAAUAACUGGAAUUCUUGAUGCGAUCCAUUGUAGAUUUGAACAUAUGUUUGCUGACAACGAGCUUCAUUUGGCAACACUUACCGAUCCUUUCUUUAAAUUGUCCUGGUUGGAUAAUGAAGAUGAAAUUAGACGCGCCAAAAACUUACUAAAGGGAGAAUACGUUCGCUUUCAAUGAAUAUCCAAUGAGACCAAAUCAUGAGUUCAGUGACGGAACAUGUUCGUCAAUUUCAGAUCCUAGCCCGGAAAAGAAACCAAAAUGUACUAAGGAUUUCUUUGCAUCAAUUACAAAAAAAUACUAAGACCAAAGUUAUUGAUGAAGUGGAGACUUUUUAGAAGUUAUGUGGGAAUUUCGACGAUCUAAGGAAUUAUCCAACGAUUAUGAAGAUGUAUAAGCGAUAUAACGUGACUUUGUCAUCUUCGGCCGCAGUCGAGAGGCUGUUUAGUCAAGGGGGAUUAAUAUUUACCCCAAACGACUAUAGUUGACAGCAGUGUUUCGGAUUU